GAUGAAGAACGCAGCGAAAUGCGAUAAGUAAUGUGAAUUGCAGAAUUCAGUGAAUCAUCGAAUCUUUGAACGCACAUUGCGCCCCCCAGUAUUCUGGCGGGCAUGCCUGUUCGAGCGUCAUUUCAACCAUCAAGCCCUGCUUGUGUUGGGGUCCUGCGGCUGCCCGCAGGCCCUGAAAACCAGUGGCGGGCUCGCUAGUCACACCGAGCGCAGUAGCACAUCUCGCUCAGGGCGUGCGGCGGGCUCCAGCCGUUAAAGCACCCACCUUUCGCAAGGUUGACCUCGGAUCAGGUAGGAAGACCCGCUGAACUUAAGCAUAUCAAUAAGCGGAGG
rnacentral:misc_RNA from 1 species